rnacentral:rRNA from 1 species
CGGACGUGAGGAACCUGCCUUUCAGAGGGGGACAACAGUUGGAAACGACUGCUAAUACCGCAUGACACAUAGAGAUCGCAUGGUUUUUUAUUGUCAAAGAUUUAUCGCUGAAAGAUGGCCUCGCGUCUGAUUAGCUAGUUGGUGAGGUAACGGCCCACCCAAGGCGACGAUCAGUAGCCGGACUGAGAGGUUGACCGGCCACAUUGGGACUGAGAUACGGCCCAG